rnacentral:rRNA from 1 species
CAGUCGCCACGGUAAGACAGAGGAUGCAAGCGUUAUCCGGAAUGAUUGGGCGUAAAGCGUCUGUAGGUGGCUUUUCAAGUCCGCCGUCAAAUCCCAGGGCUCAACCCUGGACAGGCGGUGGAAACUACCAAGCUGGAGUACGGCAGGGGCAGAGGGAAUUUCCGGUGGAGCGGUGAAAUGCGUUGAGAUCGGAAAGAGCACCAACGGCGAAAGCACUCUGCUGGGCCGACACUGACACUGAGAGACGAAAGCUAGGGGAGCAAAUGGGAUUAGAUACCCCCGUAGUCCCUGUCUCUUAUAA